UCCCUGGAGAUCCAGUGGUUAGUGUUCCUCACUUUCACUGAAGCGGCCUGGGUUCAAUCCCUGGCCGGGGAG
rnacentral:tRNA from 1 species